UGCAGGACAAGCGCCAGGACAUUAUCUGCGAGGACCAAUGUGAGCCAGGUGUGGCGGGCACGUGCAGCCAUGGGCACAUCUGCAUCACCGUCAGCGGCUGCCACAGGUGCAUGAUCAUCUUACCCGGAAAACGCCAGAUAAUUCAAUGCCCUAUGUUGAUGUGUGCCAGCUUCUGCCAGUACGGCUACAAGCUGGGAGCUGACGGCUGUAGAGGCUGCGAAUGUAAUCCGGCUCCCACAGCUUAAAGCCUGUGUCACAGCUGUGAGUGUAAUCCUGUAUCGCAUUUGUCAGACCCGUGAGCUGUUGUACGCGAAUGUAGUGCUCACCUAGAGGUUGAUGGAAAUGUCGAGCUCUCACAUCAACUUUCACAUCAACUUUCACAUCAACUUUUACAUCAACUAACACGAUAAUAAAAAACAUUUAAACAAAAGAAC